AGAAUAAGUCCAUUGUUGCACC
rnacentral:miRNA from 14 species